UUUAUAUUUUUCACUCUAUGUGUAUGUUUCUCUAUCUCUAUCUCUAUCUCUCUUCCCCCAAUUUCGGCCUCUAGGUUUUUUUUUGUUCCAUUCGCACUACCCACACACCACCAUUGACGAAUGAUUGGAAUUUUGAUUUUUUUUUUAAUGAUAUGAUGAUCUUGAUUCAUGGAUUCAAAAUGUCAAAUGGGGUUUAUUAAUAUUGUAUUUUAGUUGUGUUUUUAUACAAUGCUUCACACAUGUUUGCAUAAAUUCUCCACUCAAACUACAUAUUAUUUUCCUACCUCUGUUUAUUUUGGUUAAUUUCACUCACUAUCUUCUUUGACUAUUUUAGUACCAUUAAAAAGGAAAAAGAGAUGUGAUUGUUUAGAUUGUUAUUUGUGAUGUUUCCAAUGGAGUUCCUUUUGAAUUGACCAUGUAAUCUGGUUGUAUUAUUGAUGUAGGAGCCCCUCAAAGUUUCUAGACUUCUCAAGGAAAUUAUUAAAGUUUCUUCUGUAUAUCAUCACUCCUCUACCAUUACAAGUUCAUAUUUCUUGCUGGAUACUUCAUUUUUCAUGGUUUCAUGGGGCCCGAGAAUAUUUAGAUGUUUUUCAAUCUAUAUUCACUAUUCAAGCUACUUUAUAGAGUAUUACAGUUAACAUCUAAUCAGUGUUUUAAGCUUGUGUCUUGUUAAUAUUAUUUUUAACUCCAUUUCAUUCCACAAUGUAAAAUGCUACAUAUGCAAAUUAAAUCUAUUUUCUAGUUUCGGUUUUUGACUUCCCAUUUAUUCAAGUCUACUUUAACACUUAACAGCUACACAUCUUUGAUUAUUAAAUUAUUGUUGUAUCUCUUAAUGCCUGAUGGAUUCCUGUCACAGGAGUCAUGAUUCUUGUUCAACUUAUCAGAGAAGAUCUUGAAAAUUUUAUGUACAUUUGGAAAGUGUUAUAGUCCUUCUAUAACAUAUAUUGUCUAGGUAAAAGCUUUAAAGCAAUCUUUCCACAAGUGAUGGCACUGAUUAUUGCACUAGAAUGUGAUGGCACUUGACUUUUAAAUAGGAAGUUCCUACUGUUUCUGAAUUUUAUUUUUUUUAUUCUUUUUAUUUAUUUAUUUAUUUAUUUUUAUUUUUUUGAGUUUUUUUGUGAUGGGACUUAAUGCUUGAUUUGGUUUUCUGAGUUAUUUUGUAGCCAAGAAAUUAUCCAGGUCACUUGGUUUUGUAGAUACAAAUUGGUUUGUAUCCAAUUACCAUAUAUUAAAUAUCUUGAGAUGUACAAUUGUUCCGAUUGAGGAUUCUGUAUAUCAAGGCACCAUCUAUGUUGUUUAUGCAUAUGGAUCAACAAAGGAUUUGCUUCCACCAGAAGCCCAAAAUGUGCUAAGUUUGUCUGAAGAGAGGGUAGUAAAAAUCUUAAGGCCAGUUGGGACAGCAUUUCAGCAAAUGAUUCAACGGUUGGUUCCCAUCUCAAAAUUUUUUAGUGGUAUAAGGCAUUUUAGUGUUUCACUGUUGGUUGUUGGCUUUCAUGACAAGGGUCCACAACUAUAUCAGGAAGAAGAGGGCUGCAAGUCUUGAGGGUUGAUCUGUUGGACUAAUAUGGUGAUUCCUUAGUGCUAGCAUGUCCAAUAUUGGAUGCAGGCUGCAAGUCCUGGGUUAGUUCUUAUUUUGCAGUGCUAGCUGAUGAGGAGUGUUCCUAUUUUUCAUCAGUCUUAUGAGUCUUUAUUUGUUUGAUAUGCUCAUCAGUCCUGGGUCCAAUAUUGGCCCAUUCUUUUUUUGUGCCUGCUAUGCUCAUUUGUAGAUUGCUGAUCUGAUAUGGCUGCUAAAUCUGAUCUGGUGGUCUGCGAAGGGUAGGACUGUAUCAGUAAUGGUGGUUGUCUAAUUUGGAUCAAAUCUGGUGGUCUGCAUUUGUUUGAUUGGCAGUGCUUGUUAGGUGGAGUUCAGGGCAACAGAGGUUCAAUGCUGGUGUGAUGAUAAUGGGAGGAUUGGUUUGAUGUGUGGCUUGCUGCUGGUAUUGGGUUUUGUUUGAUUGGUUAUGUAGGUCUUCACAAGAGAGUUAGCAGAUUGGUUUCAUCAGUCUUAUGGGUCUUUUGGUUCAUCAGUCCAUAUCUGGUGUGCUGGUGCUCAUGGUAGCAUCAUCACAGAUUCAAGUGUCUUGUUUCCUCACCAAUGGAAUUGGGGGACCUUCAUGAGAAUGAAAGCAGAUUGGCUGCACAACUCUGCUUCAUUGUUUGAGAGUUAGCCAUCAGGUAUUAUUUGGGAGGAGAAGGUUGCAAAGUCUGGGUGGGUGACAAUAGGAAGAGCCGAUGACUUGAUCUGUGAAUGCUAAACUGAUAUUUUGGUCUGCCAUGGUGUUAUGUUAGGCUGCUAUGUUGGGCUGGUAUAUGGUCAUGAUCUGAAUUGGCAGUGCUUGUUUUGUUUGAUUUCUUCUUUGGGUUUUGUUUGAUUGGUCCCUCACCAAUCUUGGAUAAGUGCUAGCAGAUGAUUGUACUUCCUUUGCAGUGCCAACUUAGUUGGGAUUAUUCAGGUUUGCUUUGAUGCUUUCUGCACUUCCCUUCUUUGUUGUUGUAAUUUCGCAUGUACUAUGCUUUUUCAUCAAUAAAGUUUCGUUUUUUUGCUGAUCCAAAAAAAAAAAAAUGUUGUUUUUAGAAAAUUCUUGUACAAAUAAUAUUUAUUAUAUUUUAGA